CUCUCUGUCUCCCUUUCUCUCUCUCUCUCUCUCUCUCUCUCUCUCUCUCUCUCUCUCUCUCUCUCUCUCUCUCUCUCUCUCUCUCUCUCUCUCUCUCUCUCUCACACACACACACACUCACAUACACACACACACACAGUCUCUGGCUGAUGUACUGAAACUGAGAGCUGGAUGCUGCAGCAGCGAAAUCCUCCGGAUCAUAGCUGGUGUGCAGCAUGGACUCCCUUUCUCACCACUUUCCACUCCACAGGAUGUGAGAACAGAUAAACAAGCAGGAUGGUAGCACUGGUCCAGCUCGAUGUGGACAGAUCGAAGCAGAAGCGAUGGAGGAAACAACGCCAGACCCCGCGUUCGUGGAUGUGGACCAGGGCUUGACUCUGGCAUGCAUUGCUUUCCUCUGCCUGCUGCUGGUGGCCAUGAUUAUCCGCUGUGCCAAAGUCAUCAUGGACCCAUACAGCGCCAUCCCCACGUCCACCUGGGAGGAGCAGCAUCUAGACGACUAGCAUGACUUGCAGACAAACCUGUGUCCAGGAUGCAAGGUCAAGUUACAUGGACUUACUCCAAUACUGAAGCACACCAACUAGAGUCUCUACAAGCUUUGAAACUACCUACAACACUGGGACCGGGCAGAACAACCCAACACUGCACAGAACUGUUCCCAGAGCAACAUAUCAAAUACACUAAGAUAAUAAUCAUUGAAUGAAUUUGAGAAUGGUGAGUUAUAUUUUUGGGGGAACCUUUUAGGUUUUGUACAUUUUUCUAAUAAUCAUGAUGGAUGGGGUGUGCGAAUGUAAUAUAUAAUAAUGUAUAAUGUAAUGUUCAGUGAAAUGAAGCCUGGCUUGGAGGCAUGUUUACAAAGCUGCGCAUAAGGACCAUUCAACAUUGAAAUGAGUGUUAUUUAUAUCUGUUUACAGUUAAGCGACAAAAAUAAGUACGCUAGCUUGAAUGCAAUUCAGGAUGAGGAUGAGGUUUGUGCCGAUAAUAAGUUAUACAACAUAUCAUAAUAAUCAACAUGCACAACAUCAUUACUCUUCCAUUUAGGAGGAGGCCGCCUGGGCAGACAGUACUUUUAGGUUGUCUGUCGCAUUGGGAAAGAAGCCUUUGAAGGUAGCACCAUAUCUUUCUUCUUGAAGGCAUUACAAUAAAAAAAAACAAAAAAAACAAUCAGUAGCUAUGAAGUGGCUUUUUGAUUCAAAUGCUACUCAAUGAGAAAAAGUACUGGUAAACAUUGUCAUUUUUAAUAUACUGUGUUAAUGUCAUAAACGGUGAGAAAAUUUUGAAAAUGUAUUAUCGGCACAUGCCUGUUUAGGAUACUCAACUCCAGAUCAAGCCAUUUAGCUGAGGUUUAGAGGAAUUCCCUUUAUUCUUAAAUGUGACUGCCUUUGGCUGCUACUUAAAGUCCACUUCCUUUGCUCCUCUGUUGUCUUGAGCCAUAUCAAUUACCGCAUUUAUCUGCAGAGAAUUAUAACCAUAACUGCAUGUUAUCAAGUGCCUCAGCCAAAAUCACAAAGACUGUCUUGAAGCAGCACACAAUCAAAAUAAUGUGUAGCAGAUCAAACAAUAAUGUCUUGACUGAUUGAAACUGCAACUGUGCUAUGUUUAUUUAGCCUGCAUCUUCUUAUGCAUAAUAAAGUUAAUGAGGAUUUUAAGGCUCUUUGGUGUGUUUAUGAUGUGUCAUGUCCACAGGGUGUGCGGUGCCUUAGAUAAAGUAUUUUCGCUUUAAUGACAGUGUGCACUCGAGCUUCAACAGAACAUCAAGCUCAUGCACACAUGCACAGUCAUGAGGAGAAUUUGAUCGUUUGUCCAAAUCGGUUAACAUGGUCAAUAUCACAAAUUUGCUUAUAAUUAAACAUGGAUCUAGAAAUAGUACAGAAUCUUGAAUAUUGAAUACAUUGAAUACUACUUUCUUUCUUUGAAAUAUUUCAAAAUUCUAAAACCUUCUGUUUAUUUCCCAGAUUUUCAAUGCGGUCUUAUGCUCAGACAUCACUGUAUUUUAUUGUGACAGAAAGGCCAAUUAAAUUAAACACAAACGCAGAUGUUUCGUUGCUUUUCGUUGGCUAUGUACUUGUACUCUGCUCAUAAACAAUAAAGUUGAAUCUAAUCUAAUUU
ensembl:lncRNA